rfam:Octopus bimaculoides Scaffold15455_contig_80, whole genome shotgun sequence.
AGCCACAUGGCUUAGUGGUUAGGGCAUUCGGCUCACAAUCGUAAAGUCGUGAGUUCGAUUCCCAGUGAUGCGU